GCGCGCAUCGUCAGCAGUAGUUUGAAGUGAAAUCUGACAGCCGCUGCCGUGCCCGCUCCUCCGUUUCUUUUCACUCUCCGGCUCAUCGUCCCGUCUUCUUUAAAGAGCUCAGUCGGGACAGGUGGGACCGCAUCUGAUCGCUGUCUUCAACUUGGGGGCUGAAGAAAGACCCGGGAAACUCCUCGGGAUUCUCCGCACACCGAGCGCUGAUCUGGAUUUUGUGUUUGCUGUGUUGAAGUGCUUCUUAAAAGGAGAAUUCUGGGGAGAUUUCUUGCUCUUUCAUUCCUCAAGGAUGAAGCAGCACAGUGAACCAGCGUACUGAAGCAGCUCCCACUUUCAAACUUCAUAAGUGAGAAUGAAACAUGAGCAAAGAGCUUGUCUAUGAGAUGCUUGGAUUCCACCCAGAGUGCAGCUCGCUCCUGUGAAAAUGCUCAUGUCCUCUCAGGUGUUAUGUUUACAGCACUGCCGGAACUGAUAAAUACCCCUGACUAAUGCAGAAUUAUUUGACGCCGGAUUGAAUGCCUGGCUAGCAAAACCACAUGUCAGAAACAGGCUGCGGCAGAGCCAGGAAUACCUUCAGAAAUAGACAGACUUACACAGCGAUGGUCAC